GACAGAGGGUGCAAACGUUGUUCGGAAUUACUGGGCGUAAAGCGCGUGUAGGCGGUCCGGUAAGUCCGCUGUGAAAGUCGAGGGCUCAACCCUCGAAUGCCGGUGGAUACUGUCGGGCUUGAGUACGGGAGAGGCGAGUGGAAUUCCUGGUGUAGCGGUGAAAUGCGCAGAUAUCAGGAGGAACACCGGUGGCGAAGGCGGCUUGCUGGGCCAGUUCUGACGCUGAGGAGCGAAAGCGUGGGGAGCGAACAGG
rnacentral:rRNA from 1 species